UUGACCUCAAAUCAGGUAAGGAUACCCGCUGAACUUAAGCAUAUCAAUAAGCGGAGGAAAAGAACCAACAGGGAUUGCCUUAGUAACGGCGAGUGAAGCGGCAAAAGCUCAAAUUUGAAAGCUAGCACCUUCGGUGUCGCGUUGUAUUUGAAGAUAGUUUCCUUGAGUAGUCCUUUAUCUAUGUUCUUGGACAGGACGUCAUAAAGGGUGAGAACCCGUAUGAUUUUGGAUACUACUCUUUGGGGAUUCUAUCGAGAGUC
rnacentral:rRNA from 1 species